CUCGCCGUGGGCCGACGAGGCUGGGCUAAAUCUGCGCUGUCCGUCCCUCUUUCUCUUCGUUUGAACUCAAGAAAGACUCUUUACAGAAACCCGAAAUGUGAACCUAUCUGGCUAUUUUCACUUGACUUUAACCUACCAGGAAGCUGAAAUGAGCAAUGUUCCUCAGUUAACAAGAGAGCAGGAGUGUGUGGGUGGACAUGCAAGGACACGCUGACCCCGCCUCACACCAAGAAUGUGCAAUGCCUCUGCAAGCUUACUGCCCCUGCCUCAGUUGAGUGACCAUCUUGCUGCGCCUCCUGAAGGAGAUACCACUCACCUCAAUGUUCAUGGCACCCUGCUGGUAAAUGAUGCCCUAAAACCAUCUGUACAUCUAUCACCAACAGCUUCAUGAAGCUUGCACCAUGGAUGGUGUUUCCCAUGGCCCUCCUGACCAAAAUGGGUCAUGCAUCACUGUCCUCCUGCCAGAGAAUUGGUUCCCGAUACUUUGAGUCGUCUGCACACCUACAUGCCAGAUUUAGUUCAUCAGCACCCUGGAGGGAUCUUUCCUGCUUGCCUGGCAACUGUGGGUCAGCGUCCUCCUGGGCUACCUAGUGAACUUUUCUGCCAUUUAGUGGGGCUGUAUCCACACCUCUGGUUAUCAAAUCCUAGCCUUAGAGUGGAGGCCAAGUUCAAUGUUUGCCUUCCUUAGAAACUCCUUUAGCCUCAGGAUAGUCUUUGAGUUCUCUUUUUAUAUCUUUAUAGUUGCUCCCCAUUGUUAUUAAUAAUUCUUUUAUAACGAAUUUCCCUUUUCAAAUUGGGUGAGCGCUGUCUCCUGGUUGGACCUUAACUAAUGCAAUCAUUAACAAGCUUUUUUUUUUCUCACUAAGUCUUCUAAAUGUGGGGCGUAUUUUAGUAUUUUACUCUUACAUAAUAUCUCAAUUCAGCCUACCCCUACCACAAGUGAUUGACAGGCAUAUGUGUGUCUUGCAGCUACUAUACUGGGCAGCACAGCUAUCAAUCCACUGCUUCAACUGAAGGUGACUGAAAUGGAGUUAUGUAUUUCCUUCCCAAUCCAUCUUCCUCACUAAAAUUUUCUCACAU